rnacentral:rRNA from 1 species
AUACGUAGGGGGCGAGCGUUGUCCGGAAUGAUUGGGCGUAAAGGGCGCGUAGGCGGCGCGGUAAGUCUGGAGUGAAAGUCCUGCUUUCAAGAUGGGAAUUGCUUUGGAUACUGAUGGGCUUGAGUGCAGGAGAGGUUAUCGGAAUUCCCGGUGUAGCGGUGAAAUGCGUAGAGAUCGGGAGGAACACCAGUGGCGAAGGCGGGUAACUGGACUGCAACUGACGCUGAGGCGCGAAAGUGUGGGGAGCAAACAGGAUUAGAUACCCUGGUAGUCCACGCCAUAAACGAUGAAUACUAGGUGUAGGGGGUAUCGACCCCCUCUGUGCCGACGUUAACACAUUAAGUAUUCCACCUGGGGAGUACGGCCGCAAGGCUGAAACUCAAAGGAAUUGGCGGGG